UACAGGGGGGGGCAAGCGUUGUUCGGAAUUACUGGGCGUAAAGGGCUCGUAGGUGGCCAACUAAGUCAGACGUGAAAUCCCCAGGCUCAACUUGGGAACUGCGUCUGAUACUGGAUGGCUUGAAUUCGGGAGAGGGAUGCAGAAUUCCAGGUGUAGCGGUGAAAUGCGUAGAUAUCUGGAGGAAUACCGGUGGCGAAGGCGGCAUCCUGGACCGAGAUUGACACUGAUGAGCGAAAGCUAGGGGAGCAAACGGG
rnacentral:rRNA from 1 species